rnacentral:lncRNA from 1 species
AAUCAAUCAAUGGGAUGCCAGAGAUAAAGCCAGGUCUUUAAGGAAGAAUGGGAGCCUCAUUACUCUUCCACAGAGAGCUCUUCCACUGUCUGCAGGCAGAGAGGUCUGAGGCCUCAGGGGCUGGAGGAAACGUAGAGUGGAAGGAAUGUGGGUCCCUGAAUCACUGCCUUUGGGAAGAGCAUCCGCUGCAGCCAGGGGUGCUGGCACUGGACCCUUACAUAGGAGUAAGCCCAGUGCCCCCUGCCUCUCAGGACUGCUAUCAGGAUGAAAGAAACAGAGAUCCUUCCUUGAGCCAUCGCCCUGUGCAGUGGACUGGAUAUGGGUGUGAGCCGGACCCGGUGUCCUGCUUUUUCAGCCCGGGCCCACUCCUCGGCGGCCAUCCCUUGUCUUCUCCUAUGAAGGACCCCAGCUCCAUGUGCAGCGGCCUCCUGGAGAGGAUUUGCCAAGAACUGGAGCUGGGAGGAGCGGUGAGGAGGCUGGAGUCCCGGGAAGCAGGGCCCAGGGCCCCACGUGGGAACCUGCCUCCCCAGCCAGGUGUCACAGCCUCGGCACUGCGGCCACUCAGCUCAAACUGACUCAGCCAAAGGGCCGUUUAGUUGAAUCUGGAAGGCCAACCAACAAUAAAAGCCACCAAACCAAAAACAUCCCCUGUGCCCCUGUCCCCCCCAGCCCCCAGUUGAAACAUCCCUCUGUGCCAUGGGUGAAGAAAAGUCAAGUCUUGAGCUGUCAGGAGCCGACUUAGCAGAGGCUUGACCUGGACUUGGUAGCCCGGGUUCCUGGCUCUCCCUUCGCCCUCCCCAGGCCUCCGAGGCA